AUUAUAAGCGCUGUCUUUGCUUAAGGAAAAAUGUUGCAUAUUUUGAAACACUUUCCCUUUUGAUUUUGUUCAGUUUUUUUCUUUUUCCCUGCCAAAGAGUUUUAAUAUUACUAUAGUCACCUUUAUCUUUUUCUCAUUAUGGAUUUUGAGUAUGGCUUAGAAAGACCUUUCCACACCAAGAUUAUUUUUCUUAAUUAUUCAUGUUUUUUUACAGUACUCUUAUAGUUUCAUUUAAAGCUUUAAUCUUUCUGGAAUAGCUUUGAUGUAAAGAUUGAGGCAGCUAUAACACUUUUUUUUCUUAAUGCAACUAACCAGUUGUUUUAACACCAUUUACUCAAUAUUGAAUAUCCAAUGUAAUUGCUGCCUUUAUUAUAUAAUCCAUUCCCUAAUGUGUUUGGACCUGUUUCUGGACUGUUCUGUUCAGAAGUGUUAUUCUUGCGCCAGUAUAAAUCUUUUAAAAUAUAAACUUCUCAUAUACAUUUUAUCUGGUGAGAAUAAUUCCUUAUAAAAUUUUUAAAGAUUUUUUUUUGAUAUUUUCAUAUAUUUAUUUUUCCACAUAAACUGCCGUAUCACUUUUUUUCAGGCUCCCGCCCCAAAGCCUAUGGAUAUUUUGAUUGGAGUUUGUUUGAAUUUAUAGAUUCAUUUACAGAGAAUCAGGAAUUUCAUAUUAUUCAGUUUUCUUAUCCAAGGAUAAGAUGUCUUUCUAUUUAAUCAAAUCUUGUUUACAUCCUUCAGCAGAAUUUUCAAGUUUACCUGUUAAAAUUGUUAAAAUUUUCAAAAAUAUUUAGAACCUGUUCCUCAGUUUCUUCCUUUGUCUGCCUUUUGCUUAUGCUAUUUUGCUGCUUAUUUUUAAAUUGUCUAUGCUUAGGCUUUCUCCCUUUUUUUCAGCUUUGAAUGGGGCCAACUGUUUGCUGAAGUGUGAUGUGUGAAGAUGUCAGAGGAAAUGAGCUUAAGCGUCUCAGGAGCUUCAAUUCAGGAAUACAGAAAGAAAGAAGAGAGAGAUCCCAAGAAUCUCUGUGAUGUUACUGACCUUGCUUAUUGGGCACAAGAUUCCUGGAUGAUGUGCUCUCCAAGGUCAUGUACAGCAACUGAGUGGGAAGUGAAAGGACAAAUCCCAACCUUUUCCACAAGGGGGCAGCAAACACCGACUGUGGGGUUGUGUAGAAGCUAG
rnacentral:lncRNA from 1 species